rnacentral:lncRNA from 1 species
CUAGUACAUCACUCUUUGAUUUGAAAUGAGGAGAUAAAUUGCAGAGAGAGAGUCAGCAACACCUGAUCUUUUCUCCAGAAAGGUGAGAGGACAUCAGAGAAGCAGUGGUGACAAGCCAACUGACACGUGGACCCUGACGAGUGCUCAGUGAUCUCUAUAUGCUUCCUCAUCAGACUCUCCUUCAAGGUGAAGGUUCCUAAGCAGAGACUGUCAACCAAAUGUUGACAUGAAUGCUGUGACCAGAGGAAUCCUUUGUCUCUCCAUAGGGGAUGCUAGAGCUUGCAGUACCGUCUCCACGAAGGCAUGCCUGUAGACCCGAACCUUAUGAAGGGAAUGCAGGAGCACAUUCAGGAAGGGUCACUCCCCAGCUGAUGGCCGUGUGAGGAACCUGCUCUCCAGGGGUCAGCUGCUCUCCUGGACUGCGUGCCCUGGUGCUCCAGCCCAGCAUAGCACAGUUGCCCAUGUCCUGUUUAAAGAACUCUGGGGCUCUGCAAGGACAGCCAGGUCUCCAUCAUGUGGCCUUCUGCAGGUCAGUCAGUCAGGCAUGGGAACUGCAGAGUCCACUCCCUCCCGCUGUCCAGGCCAGGCCCUCAGGUGUCCCAAACAGGAGUGCCCACAUCCCAUCCUGGGAACCUUCCCUUCCCAGGGAGAGGCUCCAGCUUGACUGGGAGGCACCUUCAGAAAGUCCUGGGGGAUAUGGAGAAGCAGCAGCCAUCUGAUCCCAAGGCCUUGUCCAUGGAAUCCAGGGAGGCUGGAGUGGGGGAUGCUCAGCACAACCUCAGCCCAUUGCCAUCAUCUUCUUGUCCAUGCCCAAACUCAAUUCAGGCAUCAUCUACUGAGUGGAGCCUCUGCCCAGCUGGGUUAGAAGCCCUUUCUCUGUCACCACGUGCUUCUCCUCAUCAUUCAUUCAGUAAACAUGUACUGGGCCCUCCCUGUGCCGGGCACAGAGGAUACAAAGGUGACUGUGGUGUGGUCCUUUGUGAGGAGUUCCUUGUCAUGCACUUUGCCACAUUCAUGAGCAUCUCACAGUGGACACAUGAGCCCACCCUCAUGGCCACCAUUCAUUUAUCCAUAAAAGUGGUCACCUGACCAAGGCUGAGCCAAUCAUAGUCCUUCUCUGAGACCUUCCAAAUUGGAACUAAUAUGGCGUAUCUUUCUCCAAUGGCCGAGGCUCCAUGACAUGAGGCUCAGGGGCUGUGAACCUCCAUGUUUCCUGCCACCUGGAGAAGCUGGUCCACCGUGGGAGAGAAUAGAGUCAGUGCAGGGAGUGACGAGGACACGAUGCUGCUCCUGAAGCUCACACCCAUCUGCCUCUGGCAGUGUGUGGGCACACCUGAGUCAGGUGGGGUCCUGAUGUGACCAGAUGGCACGCCCAAUGUGGAUAACUGAAGAUAGCUUUUCUAUUUAUCCUUAGAGGUGUAGGCAGGUGCAGAGGACCCACAGCAAUGCUGAAGCACCCCAGGGACUAGCAAGAAUGAGGAGUCUUAUCCCUGGGCCCGUAUAGCUCCCAGCUUUCCCUUGGGAGUCUCAUGACACAGUGGCACCUCACUUUGUGAUCCCACCCCAUCAUGAAGCAAACUCAAUCUCUAGAUGUGAGCCAACUUCAGGCCCUAGACAUCAGUUACCUAUUUGGAUACUGGACAAACCUACCCCUUUGAACACAAGCCCAGCCUGGCCAUGUUGCUCCUAAAGCUGUAGAGCUUGGCGCCUGUGCUUGCUGGAGAAGCGCUGCUGGGGGGCUGGAAAAAGAGUGACAAAUCAAAGCAGUUUCAGGGUAAAAGCUGGGAGACAUUCCAAGAGGCCAUGAACAGGGGGCCCUGAUUCGGGGGAAGUUUACAACUCUGUCAUGGAGGGAGUAUUCAUCAUUCUCAGAUUGAGUCUCAGCCCAUCAAGGUGUCUGGAGAUCCUGGCCCGGUCCUCCCAGACUGUUCCUCUGAUAGAGUGGUUGUGUUUGCUAUGGGAAAUUCUCCGAGCCUGGACAGUCUCACACCCACUGAGCGGGGACACCAAUGCACCUGACCCGGUUCCCUCCAGCCCUGCUCUGUGUCAGGAAGGUCGCUUCUCCUGCAGAGGAAGAAACAUGGUUUAUUCAGUCCCAGCGUAUUUCAGUGGGAACUUGCAUGGGACGCUCUACCUUUUGUGUGUUAAGCAAGAUGGUUUGAGCUCAUCACAGAACCUAAAGCUGAGCUCGGCUCAGGACUGACUCCACGAGCUGCUGAACGCUGGGCGUCCCUUUGAGGACAGGUGGUCAACCUGGCAAUGCUCCUAAAGCCCCAAAUCCUGGGACAGCUCUCCCACCACGCUUUCCUCUAGACUGUGAGCUGGCCCAGGGUGGCCUCAGGGUGCCUGGUUCAGGGAUGGGCACAGGAGGAAGUGUGCCCCACAGAGCUCCAUCCUGAGUUGGUUUUGUGACUGUGAGGAGACAAGCUGCUCUUACAGGGUGAGAACGAGAGAGACAGAGACAGAGAAAUGAAUACAGAGCUUGCGGACCAG